AUGAGAACAGUCAACACCAGCUCGUUGCCUUUGAUCUUUCUUCGCAGUCUCCCAGAUGUAUUCAGAGCAUUCACACCGUGCUCAAGAGGAGCUGGAACUGGACUGUUUGCAGCAAAGAAAGAAACCGGCAGUGCUCCGUGCGGUGCUGAGGACACAAAGCAAGCGGCUGAGGACUGCGAUGCAAGAGUAAAGCUGCCCUCUGCAGGUUACUCUGUCACACAAAAUAAAUCACGGAGAAAUGAAGUGGUUCUCCUGUGUGUUGCUAACAGAUUGCCUUAA
rnacentral:lncRNA from 1 species